GGAGGGUGCAAGCGUUGUUCGGAAUUAUUGGGCGUAAAGAGCGUGUAGGCGGUCCGGUAAGUCAGAUGUGAAAGCCCUGGGCUCAACCCAGGAAGUGCAUUUGAAACUACCAGACUUGAGUACGGGAGAGGAGGGGGGAAUUCCCGGCGUAGAGGUGAAAUUCGUAGAUAUCGGGAGGAAUACCAGUGGCGAAGGCGCCCUCUGGACCGAUACUGACGCUGAGACGCGAAAGCGUGGGGAGCAAACAGGAUUAGAUACCCUGGUAGUCCACGCCGUAAACGAUGAGCACUAGGUGUAGCGGGUAUUGACCCCCCUGCUGUGCCCGUAGCUAACGCAUUAAGUGCUCCGCCUGGGGGACUACGGUCGCAAGACUA
rnacentral:rRNA from 1 species